AACGCUAGCUACAGGCUUAACACAUGCAAGUCGAGGGGAAACGACAUCGAAAGCUUGCUUUUGAUGGGCGUCGACCGGCGCACGGGUGAGUAACGCGUAUCCAACCUGCCCAUCACUUGGGGAUAACCUUGCGAAAGUAAGACUAAUACCCGAUGAUAUCUCUAGACGACAUCUGAAAGGGAUUAAAGAUUUAUCGGUGAUGGAUGGGGAUGCGUCUGAUUAGCUUGUUGGCGGGGUAACGGCCCACCAAGGCAACGAUCAGUAGGGGUUCUGAGAGGAAGGUCCCCCACAUUGGAACUGAGACACGGUCCAAACUCCUACGGGAGGCAGCAGUGAGGAAUAUUGGUCAAUGGGCGAGAGCCUGAACCAGCCAAGUAGCGUGCAGGAUGACGGCCCUAUGGGUUGUGAACUGCUUUUAUAAGGGAAUAAAGUGAGUCUCGUGAGACUUUUUGCAUGUACCUUAUGAAUAAGGACCGGCUAAUUCCGUGCCAGCAGCCGCGGUAAUACGGAAGGUCCGGGCGUUAUCCGGAUUUAUUGGGUUUAAAGGGAGCGUAGGCCGGAGAUUAAGCGUGUUGUGAAAUGUAGUGGCUCAACCUCUGCACUGCAGCGCGAACUGGUCUUCUUGAGUACGCACAACGUGGGCGGAAUUCGUGGUGUAGCGGUGAAAUGCUUAGAUAUCACGAAGAACUCCGAUUG
rnacentral:rRNA from 1 species